rfam:Eucalyptus grandis cultivar BRASTZ1 unplaced genomic scaffold scaffold_5, whole genome shotgun sequence.
UGCAGAAACAUCAUUGAGUGCAGCGUUGAUGAAAUCGCUCGGUUCCACGUUUCCGGGGCAGUUCUUGCUAGGGCGGAACGGGAUCGGUUUCGCCGGCGCUGCACUCAAUUAUGUUUCUA